UAGAGGGUUGCUAUAGAGGUUUCAUAGAGGGUUGCUAUAGAGGUUUCAUAGAGGGUUGCUAUAGAGGUUUCAUCGAGGGUUGCUAUAAAGGUUUCAUAGAGGGUUGCUAUAGAGGUUUCAUAGAGGGUUGCUAUAGAGGUUUCAUAGAGGGUUGCUAUAGAGGUUUCAUCGAGGGUUGCUAUAGAGGUUUCAUAGGGGGUUGCUAUAGAGGUUUCAUAGAGGGUUGCUAUAGAGGUUUCAUCGAGGGUUGCUAUAGAGGUUUCAUCGAGGGUUGCUAUAGAGAUUUCAUCGAGGGUUGCUAUAGAGGUUUCAUAGAGGGUUGCUAUAGAGGUUUCAUAGAGGGUUGCUAUAGAGG